GUAGGCUUGUUUUCCUGUAGAAGUGUUGGGCUCUGGAGGCAGUAGGUGCUAAAAGUUGCUCUCACGUGGUCAUUCUUUCCUUUUUUUUUCAUUAAAAAGAGCAAAGAAAUCAUCUGACGGGGGCUGAAGAACGUCUGGGCUCUGCAGGACAGAUAAUAUUUAUCCACUCGAGUCAGAAGGUGAACCCGUAAAAUGCUGAGAGCUGUUUUGUGAAAGCACCAUACCUGCAUGUUUGAAAAGGAAAAGAAUCCAUGCUUGCAUAUUUAAUUGCCAAAUUAUCAUAUAAAUGUCGCGCUAGUUAGGUUGCCAGAACUCACUGAUAUUUUAAAUGUUUCCAUGUGUUAACUCCGUGCAAGUCAACCUUUGCAAGCCUGAAUACAAGGGGAAAAUUACCAAUGGCAUUUCUUACCUCCAUGUUUGAAAUGGAGGGGAACUUCCUGAGACUUGCACAAGAAUUGUCUGCUCACGUCUGCAGUGACAGGAGCUCUUCCUGCUGCUCCUCACUGGGAUAAGCUGGAUUAAUGUUAGCAAAAAAACAACCCCAAACCAGCCCACAAUAGCCAUGCUCGAGCAUGUUUGCAUAUUUUGGUUUGUUUUGCAAAAGUAUUUCUGCAAAACAUCCCAAAAAUAAACAGAAAUGCCCUUGCAGAGCUGAAAACCUUGGGGAGGCUUCAUGCAAAAGAGCUUUCCACUUCGACAUUCCCUUCACUUUUAUUGCAGAAACAGCUGUCUAAAAAGGAUCAAAAUGAAAUAUUUUCGAG
rnacentral:lncRNA from 7 species